AUACGGAGGGUGCAAGCGUUAUUCGGAAUCACUGGGCGUAAAGGACGCGUAGGCGGGUUGGCAAGUCAGAUGUGAAAUCUUACAGCUGAACUGUAGAACUGCAUUUGAAACUGCUAACCUAGAGUAUGGGAGGGGGAGGUGGAAUUAGUGGUGUAGGGGUAAAAUCCGUAGAUAUCACUAGGAAUACCGAAAGCGAAGGCGAUCUCCUGGAACAUAACUGACGCUAAGGCGUGAAAGCGUGGGGAGCAAACAGGAUUAGAAACCCUAGUAGUCC
rnacentral:rRNA from 1 species